rnacentral:rRNA from 1 species
AAGAACCUUACCAGGUCUUGACAUCCUCUGACAACCCUAGAGAUAGGGCUUUCCCCUUCGGGCGACAGAGUGACAGGUGGUGCAUGGUUGUCGUUCAGCUCGUGUCGUGAGAUGUUGGGUUAAGUCCCGCAACGAGCGCAACCCUUGAUCUUAGUUGCCAGCAUUCAGUUGGGCACUCUAAGGUGACUGCCGGUGACAAACCGGAGGAAGGUGGGGAUGACGUCAAAUCAUCAUGCCCCUUAUGACCUGGGCUACACACGUGCUACAAUGGAUGGUACAAAGGGCAGCAAAACCGCGAGGUCGAGCAAAUCCCAUAAAGCCAUUCUCAGUUCGGAUUGCAGGCUGCAACUCGCCUGCAUGAAGCCGGAAUCGCUAGUAAUCGCGGAUCAGCAUGCCGCGGUGAAUACGUUCCCGGGCCUUGUACACACCGCCCGUCACACCACGAGAGUUUGUAACACCCGAAGUCGGUGAGGUAACCUUUUGGAANCGCCCCCCCUAAGUGGGACAAAUGAUUGGGGUGAAGUCCUAACAAGGUAGCCGUA